ACAAGUGAGCCAUCCAAGCCAUUCCAGGGAAUGCUGUCUAUAAGGAAAAAGUAAUACACAGGAAUAACAUUAAGAUAAAACCGAAAGAAGGAACAAGAUUUCCUUCCAUGACGUAUACUCUAGUAAACUGCUUGGUAGCCCAAUUAUGGACAAAGAGCCGGUUUACCUACAUACCAGGCAAAUACCUGCCAGAAACAACAGACAUUAGUGUCAGCAUCCUGCACACAGGGCAUCCCUAGCACACUUGGAGACAAGGGAAUGCCUGGGCAUCAAGCUGAGUAGACCAGGAAUUCAUCUCAUGGCAAGGGUACUUUUGCCUCUGGGAUGGCAAACAUCAGAAAGUCAGCUGACUCUGGCCUAUUCCCUAACCUGAA